rnacentral:rRNA from 1 species
AUACGGGGGGUGCAAGCGUUAUUCGGAUUUAUUGGGCGUAAAGAGCGCGUAGGCGGCUUGGUAAGUCAGAUGUGAAAGCCCGGGGCUCAACCCCGGAAGUGCAUUUGAAACUAUCAGGCUUGAGUAUGGGAGAGGGAAGUGGAAUUCCUGGUGUAGAGGUGAAAUUCGUAGAUAUCAGGAGGAACACCGGUGGCGAAGGCGACUUCCUGGACCAAUACUGACGCUGAGGCGCGAAGGCGUGGGGAGCAAACAGGAUUAGAAACCCUAGUAGUCC